AGUGAACGCUGGCGGUAGGCCUAACACAUGCAAGUCGAACGGCAGCACAGUAAGAGCUUGCUCUUACGGGUGGCGAGUGGCGGACGGGUGAGGAAUACAUCGGAAUCUACUUUUUCGUGGGGGAUAACGUAGGGAAACUUACGCUAAUACCGCAUACGACCUACGGGUGAAAGCAGGGGAUCUUCGGACCUUGCGCGAUUGAAUGAGCCGAUGUCGGGUUAGCUAGUUGGCGGGGUAAAGGCCCACCAAGGCGACGAUCCGUAGCUGGACUGAGGGGAUGAUCAGCCACACUGGAACGGAGACACGGUCAAGACUCCUACGGGAGGCAGCAGUGGGGAAUAUUGGACAAAGGGCGCAAGCCUGAUCCAGCCAUACCGCGUGGGUGACGAAGGCCUUCGGGUUGUAAAGCCCUUUUGUUGGGAAAGAAAAGCAGCAGGUUAAUACCCCGCUGUUCUGACGGUACCCAAAGAAUAAGCACCGGCUAACUUCGUG
rnacentral:rRNA from 1 species